CCUCCCAUCAUGCUCUGCUCAGUUUUACCACGUUGUUAAAGCUGCAAUGACCUGGACUGAUGCCCAGAGUUACUGCAGAGAGAAGUACACAGACCUGGUUACUAUAAACAGCAUGGAAGACAUGGUCAGGCUGAGGGACCAACUGGGGGGUAAAGAUGAUGAUCAGUUCUGGAUCGGUCUCUAUGGUGAUCUUAACAACUGGAAGUGGUCUCUGGAAAAGGAGGGAAAUGAAGAAGGGCAGGCUGAGUACAGUGUGUGGUAUCCUACUCAACCUAAUAUGUACUCAGGAGUCCUUGCCUGUGUUAACACAGACACCAGUGGAGCUUGGUCAGACUACUAUUGUGAUUGGGCCAUGCCUUUCAUCUGCUACAAUGAAUUUUCACAGACUAAAUACAUCUAUGUGACCACACCAAUGAACUGGACCAAUGCUCAGAGGUACUGCAGGGAGCGCUACACAGACCUGGCCAGUAUGAGGAAUGAAUCUGAGAGGAACGAAAUGAAGACGCUGGUGGAGACCUUUGCAUGGAUCGGCCUGUACAGAGUGGCGUGGAAGUGGUCUGAUGGUCAGAUCAUGGACAUCACUUCAUUCCAAAAAUGGAGCACGAACCAGCCCACGAAAAUCGAACAUCACUGUGUGACCACGACUCACAGUGGAUGGAGUGCACGGCCUUGUAGCGACAAAUAUGCUUUUGUCUGCAGGGUGAGGAAACAGGUGAGACUGAAGGUGAUGCUGAAAACAUCAGACUCCUCUGUGGACCUGGAAGACAUGCAGGAUGCUAUCUUGGAGCAGUUCUGCCAGAGACUGAAGGACCAUGGCAGGAGUGAACAUGUCAAGCUGAAGUGGAUGAAGCAGCCUGAUGGAAAGAUCUUUCAAUUAAAAGAAAGUGAGGAGAAGAAAAAAGAAAAAUGUGACAAAUGAAAAAAGCUGCUUUCACAAACAAUGUUAAUUUCAUGCCUCCAGAAGAAUUGAGGAUGUUAUUAGUGAUUUAUGAAAGAAUGUUGGUCUAAAUGUUAGAAGGAUCUUUACCCUGGUGGCUCCUGAUGAGGAGCAGAAGAUCUCUAAAAUAUCCAAGUGUCUUCAAUUCAGAGUUCUUUGCAGUUUUUUUUUUCUUUCAAAAUGAGUAUAAGUGAACUCUCUUUCACUUUAGAAAAAGUUUGCAAUUUUAGGUGAAAGCACAUUUUACAUUACUUAAUAUUUAUUGUUGUCAAAUAGUUUAAGAUGUUUUAAUAUUCCACUGCAUAAAUGUUUUAGUGGUUCAUAUAAUUACAGAAAUGUUUCCUAAUUUUACUGCUAUGUAAACUUAUGUUUUUAAAAUUAUUCUUCUUUCUCUUAUUAGAAAUUUGUAAUUGGGUGAUUUUUCUUUUUCAUUUAUAAGGUAAAUGUGUUCUUUGGUGUUAAGAGCUGUUUUUGGUUGUUUAUUUGUGCUAAAACUAAUUUUCAGAGCUCACUUUAAAGGCCCACUGAAACCAUACUGUUAAUUUUCAAAACCAGACUUAAAUCAGAUUUUUAAACCAAUUCUUCUUUUUUAGGUUUUCACAGUGUUACAUUAGUUGGUCAAUUUCAAAUCAGCCUCAGUUAUUUAUCUUGUUCGAUUAGAGCUUAAAAUUCUGAGUUCAAACUUUUUACUUGAAAUGUUGAGUUGACUUGACACAAAAAACUAAACACUUUAGGAUUGAUUUAGUAUGAACUGAAAUUCUUGUGAAAGUGAUCUAUUUUCAUAUUUGACUUAAGUUACAUGAUAGAAUGUGUCAGAUUAGUCAGAUUUCAUUUCUAUGUUGCUGUAAAACAUUAAAACUAUGACGAUGAAAAAUCCAACAGAAAAUGCCAAUUACAAGGAUGUACAGUUUGGAAAGUCUAAGUUACUUUGACAACAAUUAUGUAAAGGUAGCUGACUAGGAGAUUUAAAUGGAAUUCAGCCUGAAGAAAGUUAAAUAACCUGAAUAAAGACGGACAAA